UACAGAGGUCUCAAGCGUUGUUCGGAUUUACUGGGCGUAAAGGGCGCGCAGGCGGCUCAUUUUGUCAGGCGUGAAAGCCCCGGGCUUAACCUGGGAACUGCGUUUGAGACGGAUGGGCUAGAGUUCGGGAGAGGAGCGUGGAAUUCCCAGUGUAGAGGUGAAAUUCGUAGAUAUUGGGAAGAACACCGGUGGCGAAGGCGGCGCUCUGGACCGAGACUGACGCUGAGGCGCGAAAGCGUGGGGAGCAAACAGG
rnacentral:rRNA from 1 species